ACUGGAUCUGGGCUUACAUUUUGGGGCAAUAAGAUGUCUAAAAUAUCUGGGCUAAUGGCCUUAUUCUUUGUGGUUUGAGCCACAUGAAUGCUUCACUUCCGUUAUCCAACCACUUCUUGCCAAUUGUCGAAAUCCCACAAGGCCACAACCCCUCCAAAAGCUUGGAGCACAAAAGUGGCUUGUAACAUCCCAACAGUAUCAGAUUCCAAAGCUGCAAAAAUUUGCUCCUGUUCUGUUGCUGCAAUAUCUAGAGAAUGAACACUGCAAAAAGAGCUGCUCAGCUUCUCUCAACUCAGAACAUUAGGUCCUUCUUAGACUCUGCUGAGGCCUUUCUCUUUGACUGUGAUGGUGUGAUUUGGAAAGGAGACAAACUAGUUGAUGUGGUCUCUCGAACAAUGGACUUCCUUCGUUCUAAGGGAAAAAACACUUGUUUUUGUGAUAAAUAAUUCAUUAAUUUCAAGAAUGCAAUGUGCCAAGAAGUUCCAUUCACUUUGGAUUUCGGUUGAUGAGGUUGGUGCAGUUGUGGUUGGAAUAGAUCCGUGCUUCAACUGUUACAAGCUUCAGUAAGAGUUUCUAAAUCCUAUGUUACCUCUUCUACCGUGUUAAGUCUGCUGUAUUUUGAUUUGGUCAUGUUGUUAUGAGAUUUUGAGCAAGAUACUAUUGAAAUCGAUUUUUUAAGGCAACAACAGAGCAUAAGUUCACUUGUCAGCUUCUCUAAGAUUCAAGGAUAAAAAGAUUUCCUGCCAAUUGAACACUAGCUGAGCGGCCAAGGCAUGGUUAGGUCUUGGUCAGAUAUUUCCUUUGUCAAUGCGAAAUCUGUCAUAUCGGUAUUGAUCUGGAAUUUGAUUCCACAAGACAUCUCAUACCCGGGGCUGUAAUAGAAUAAUAAUAAUUAAGAGCUGCAUGCUUCUAGUUUCAAGAUAAAUAUUGAAUUGACAGGUAUGGAACCUCAUGCAUGCGUGAGAAACCAGGUUGCAUUUUUAUUGCUACGAAUCGUGAUCCAGUGGGACGUAAGACUGAUUUAUAGGAGUGGCCUGGUAAGUAAUUAGAUCCUAUAUUACAACAAGACAUUUCACCAGGCAGUUUCACCUCUUUAAUUUCGGUUCUUGGUUUUAGGUGCAGGUUGUAUGGUUGCUGCCACAUGCGGUUCAACAGAGAGAGAGCCUAUCACAGUUGGAAAUGCUCAAGUAUCAAAAACACAACAAUUGGUCCUCAUUUCAUACUGACAUCAUCACUAACCUUUGACAACUUAUAUUCUCACAGGAGACUGUUUGUAGAUUAAAUGUUUACUGUCCUAUGUUUUGCAGCUUUCUCAUCGGCACCUCCAAAAUGUGCAUGGUGGGUGAUAAACAAGAUGCUGAUAUUUUAUUUGGACAAAAUGCUGGCUACAGAACUCUCCUUGUUCUUUCAGAUAGACUGAUUUCUCUUGUUUUUUAAUUCCCUCUUACCCUCAAAUAGAAUGUUAACUCAAAGCACACGAUGCUGAAAAACUUGCAGGUGUAACAACGAAAACUACUCCUCAAGAUCCAUCAAACAAUGUCCAGCCAGAUUAUUAUACAAGUAAGGUGUCUGACCUACCUGACUCACUGGUACCAUAAACCUCAUUACUUGCCUUUCGGUCAUUCUCGUAGGCCUGUUGACAGUGCUGGUAGUGGAUUCCUGUUAAAAAUCUCAGGGAUUGUCGGGCAUUUUUACAGGUAUUGUCUUACCUUCGAUGCCAUAAUUCUCAGAAUUUGAGAACAAUCAUAAUGGUAUCAUCUUUCUGCUUGAUUGCUUCCUGCUUGCAAAGUUAUAUUACAGAAACACUAAUAAAUGUUCAUUCUAAGAACUCGUAAGUUCUUAAUUACAAUCUUCACAUCGGAGGAAAGUUUACCAUAGGGAAA